GUGGGUAGUUUGACUGGGGCGGUCUCCUCCCAAAGAGUAACGGAGGAGCACGAAGGUUAGCUAAUCCUGGUCGGACAUCAGGAGGUUAGUGCAAUGGCAUAAGCUAGCUUGACUGCGAGCGUGACGGCGCGAGCAGGUGCGAAAGCAGGUCAUAGUGAUCCGGUGGUUCUGAAUGGAAGGGCCAUCGCUCAACGGAUAAAAGGUACUCCGGGGAUAACAGGCUGAUACCGCCCAAGAGUUCAUAUCGACGGCGGUGUUUGGCACCUCGAUGUCGGCUCAUCACAUCCUGGGGCUGAAGUAGGUCCCAAGGGUAUGGCUGUUCGCCAUUUAAAGUGGUACGCGAGCUGGGUUUAGAACGUCGUGAGACAGUUCGGUCCCUAUCUGCCGUGGGCGCUGGAGAAUUGAGGGGGGCUGCUCCUAGUACGAGAGGACCGGAGUGGACGCAUCACUGGUGUUCGGGUUGUCAUGCCAAUGGCAUUGCCCGGUAGCUAAAUGCGGAAGAGAUAAGUGCUGAAAGCAUCUAAGCACGAAACUUGCCCCGAGAUGAGUUCUCCCUG
rnacentral:rRNA from 1 species